rnacentral:tRNA from 1 species
GCUCAGUUGGUAGAGCAGUUGGUAGAGCAUGGUGUUUGUAACGCCAGGGUUGUGGGUUCAAUUCCCAC